rnacentral:rRNA from 1 species
GUGUCAGCCGCCGCGGUAAUACGGAGGGUGCGAGCGUUGUCCGGAAUCACUGGGCGUAAAGGGCGCGUAGGCGGCGCGACAAGUCAACGGUGAAAGCUCGGGGCUCAACCCCGAGUCGGCCGUCGAUACUGUUGGGCUGGAGCACUGUAGAGGCAGGUGGAAUUCCGGGUGUAGCGGUGGAAUGCGUAGAGAUCCGGAAGAACACCGGUGGCGAAGGCGGCCUGCUGGGCAGUAGCUGACGCUGAGGCGCGACAGCGUGGGGAGCAAACAGGAUUAGAAACCCCCGUAGUCC